rnacentral:rRNA from 1 species
AACGAACGCUGGCGGCACGCCUAACACAUGCAAGUCGAGCGCUACCUUCGGGUGGAGCGGCGGACGGGUUAGUAACGCGUGGGAACAUACCCUUUUCUGAGGAAUAACCAUUGGAAACGAUGACUAAUACCUCAUACGCCCUUCGGGGGAAAGAUUUAUCGGUGAAGGAUUGGCCCGCGUUAGAUUAAAUAGUUGGUGGGGUAAUGGCCUACCAAGUCUACGAUCUAUAGCUGGUUUGAGAGGAUGAUCAGCAACACUGGGACUGAGACACGGCCCAGACUCCUACGGGAGGCAGCAGUGGGGAAUCUUAGACAAUGGGCGCAAGCCUGAUCUAGCGAUGCCGCGUGUGUGACGAAGGCCUUAGGGUCGUAAAGCACUUUCGCCAGGGAUGAUAAUGACAGUACCUGGUAAAGAAACCCCGGCUAACUCCGUGCCAGCAGCCGCGGUAAUACGGAGGGGGUUAGCGUUGUUCGGAAUUACUGGGCGUAAAGCGCGCGUAGGCGGGCUGGCAAGUAUGGGGUGAAAUCCCGGGGCUCAACCCCGGAACUGCCCUGUAAACUGUCAGCCUAGAGUUCGAGAGAGGUGAGUGGAAUUCCGAGUGUAGAGGUGAAAUUCGUAGAUAUUCGGAGGAACACCAGUGGCGAAGGCGACUCACUGGCUCGAUACUGACGCUGAGGUGCGAAAGCGUGGGGAGCAAACAGG